rnacentral:lncRNA from 1 species
GUUUAUGAUCCUAUCCGAUCUGAUUGCCACCCCUAGGUGCAGCUGGUUUGAUUAGCGAGAUAUGUUGGAUGGUUCUUAGUUUGGAUGCAUGGUCUUUCAAAAAAUAUGAAUGCAUAUCCUUGAUAGGAGAAAGCUUGAAGUUAAUGGUGUGAUAUGGUUCUCUUGAACAGAAAAUCAAAUUAUUGACGGAUGAUGCAUUGCUGUGAACGAGAGAGAGUGAUAUUGAUUGUGGGA